AACGAACGCUGGCGGCGUGCCUAAGACAUGCAAGUCGUGCGAGAAAGGGACUUCGGUCCUGAGUACAGCGGCGCACGGGUGAGUAACGCGUGGGUAACCUACCUCGAAGUUUGGAAUAACCCGGGGAAACCUGAGCUAAUACCGGAUGAGCCUACGAGGCCUUCGGGUCGAUGUGGGAAAAGAUGGCCUCUGCUUGCAAGCUAUCGCUACGAGAUGAGCCCGCCGUCCCACUUAGCUAGUUGGUGAGGUAACGGCUCACCAAGGCGACGAUGGGUAGCUGGUCUGAGAGGACGAUCAGCCACACUGGAACUGAGACACGGUCCA
rnacentral:rRNA from 1 species